rnacentral:rRNA from 1 species
UCAGUUCGGAUUGAAGGCUGAAAUUCGCCUUCAUGAAGCCGGAAUUGCUAGUAAUGGCAGGUCAGCAUACUGCCGUGAAUACGUUCCCGGGUCUUGUACACACCGCCCGUCACACCAUGGGAGCCGGUAACGCCCGAAGUCAGUGACCCAACCGAGAGGAGGGAGCUGCCGAAGGCGGGACAGGUAACUGGGGUGAAGUCGUAACAAGGUAUC